rnacentral:misc_RNA from 1 species
GCAGAAAGGAGUCUCCCAUUUCCAGCUCACUUCCAGAGCAAAAAGAGUCAAAAAAAUACACACAAAAGCUUUUUCAUUUGAGGGAUUUGAUUUUUUUUUCUUUUUUAAAUACAAGACAACAUCUUUCUCUUCUCAUUUCCUUUCUUUGAAGCAAAGCAAGAGCAGAAGUGAUGGCUGGGUACAGAGCUGAAGAUGAUUACGAUUACCUCUUUAAGGUGGUGCUUAUAGGUGACUCUGGUGUGGGCAAGUCCAAUCUGCUGUCCAGGUUCACUCGGAAUGAAUUCAGCUUGGAAUCUAAGUCCACUAUAGGAGUUGAGUUUGCUACUCGUAGCUUGAACGUCGAUGGCAAGGUCAUCAAGGCCCAGAUUUGGGACACUGCUGGCCAAGAGAGGUACCGUGCCAUAACUAGCGCUUACUACCGAGGAGCAGUGGGUGCACUACUUGUGUAUGAUGUCACACGACACUCAACAUUUGAAAAUGUUGAAAGGUGGCUAAGGGAAUUGAGGGACCAUACUGAUCCCAAUAUUGUGGUCAUGCUCAUUGGUAAUAAAUCAGAUCUUCGCCACCUUGUUGCCGUCUCAACUGAAGAUGGGAAAUCCUUUGCAGAGAGAGAGUCCCUCUACUUCAUGGAAACUUCUGCUCUGGAAGCAACUAAUGUGGACAAUGCAUUUGCUGAAGUGCUUACUCAGAUCUACCGUAUUGUAAGCAAGAAGGCUAUGGAAACUGGUGAUGAAGGUGCCGCUUCAACUGUUCCAUCGAAAGGAGAGAAAAUCGACGUUAGUAAAGAUGUUUCUGCUAUGAAGAGAGUAGGGUGCUGCUCAAGCUAGGAGUUUAGUCUGAAUUCAAUUGUUACAUAGGAUGGCGCUGGUUUGUUUUUGCUCCAUCUGUUUUAAUGUACACCAUUAUUAUGUAAAAUUUUCUCAAAGAUUCCCACAGUAGGAGAGCUGGGGAUUGAUUUUUACUUUGAUUUUCUUCAGAGCCUUUCGUUCGACUGUUAUUUCUAGCUGACUGAGAGCUUAAUUAGGAACAAGGUAUUACGCUGCUGCUUUUAAAAUGGUUCUGAGUGAAGUUCGAACCUGCUGCGUUAAGCUAUCUAUUUAGUUGUAUUAAUUCAUGUUUGUAAUCACAUUUUCCUGCAUUAGUUCAUAGGUAAUUGAAUUAAAUUACACUAUUGCUUUUGAAAAUUUGCUUCUGUCUCAUUCUCUGAAGCUAUCAUUCAUUUUAUAGGAGUAGUUGUCUUUGAG